UUGAGCUGAGAAACAAUUUUCGGAAACUCGAAGUAUAAGCUAACCUGAUCUUUCCGUGGCAGUCCAUACUUGCUAAAUUGGAAAAAUGUUAACUGAUCUUUCACAAACUUCGUUGCUUCAACGCCAUGUGCAUUUAAAGGAGUUUUUACUUGGACCUAAAUUUUUAAUUUCUUUGUUAGGUUUUACAGAAAUAUAGAAACAUGAAUUUACAUUAAGAAAAUUCAAUUUCAGAAGUGGUUUCCAAGCCUGCCAGAAGAGGGUAUUGCAUUUAGGCUGUGCUGAUUCGAUCACAGCUGAAACACAAUGAGGAUUGGUCGGUUCAUGACCCAGAUACUAGUAUUUCUGCUGGUCAUCCUUUACUGCUUGAAUUUAUUUAUUCAUCAGGUGGAAGGAGACUGCAUUACUGAAGAAUUCUUCCUACUCUCAUGGCCUUUGCAAAAAUGAAGCAUAACUGUGGUGUGUUCCCCCUCAGAAAAGGAUAAGCCUAAGCCUAGCAUUAUCAGUUGGUUGAAAUUCUGCAAAGACUUCACACAUUCUGCAGCUUAGGUGCCUUAGGCAUCCACCGAUAUUCGAAGUUCCGAAAAUCGAUUGGCCCAUGACCACAUCAAAAAGAAGUCGCCACUUAUAUCCUUUGCUUCAAUGUUCAUUUGUUGAAAAACAGUAAAAAAAAAAAACGCACAUCCUGGUACUGUCGUCAAAUACCUUCUUUAUGAGGAGAAAUAUUGUAUUACGAAAUGUUCAGUUGUUUUGGUCGUGAAGAUCCCUUCACUAGUAACAGAUCUAAAACUAACCUUGUCCUCCAGUGGCAAUCCAUGUCUGCGAAAUUGGAAAAAUCAACUACCUCUUUUAUUAGUGGACAAAUUGUAAUAUGAAAUAAUCAAC